rnacentral:rRNA from 1 species
AUGCAACCCCCGACGGCCGCUCUGUCUGCGUCGUCGCUGGAGUGCGCGAGCUCGUGCAGGGCCUUGUGGAAGGGGGGCGGCGGAGCUGGGAGGCCCUACGAAUGCAGCGUCCUCUCCUGCGCCUGGAACGCUCCACGCGCGCUCACCGGCGCGCUUGCCAGCACCACGCAGUGCUCCUCCUGUAGCCACGCUGAAGCCGUAGGCGGCGGGAGGCGGCGAGGUCGCCCACGGCAGAGUAACAACAACACGCUACUGCACAUCACCUGGGCAGAAGACAUCAACAAAGGAAAGUUGGGCCAUGGUUCAUCAGCUAGUUUUGUUUCCUCGGUAAAAAAAAUCAGAUAUUGGUCAACUCCUGUGAAGUCAAUGUGGAGGGUUUCCUGCUAUUCGUCAGGACCGUUCGACCUUGUUUCUCCAGAAACGUUGUGGGAGAGUCUCAGACCAGCUAUCUCGUACCUUCAACCUGAAGAGUUGAACUUCGUACAUGACGCUUUAAAGUUAGCAUAUGAAGCACAUAAUGGGCAGAAACGCCGGAGUGGGGAGCCUUUUAUCAUUCAUCCUGUUGAAGUUGCUCGUAUUCUUGGGGAGCACGAACUUGACUGGGAAUCAAUCGCUGCUGGUUUAUUGCAUGACACUGUUGAAGAUACUGACAUGGUUACUUUCGAAACAAUCCAAAAUGAGUUUGGGGCAACAGUAAGUCGUAUUGUUGAAGGGGAAACAAAGGUGUCUAAGCUAGGGAAACUUCAAUGCAAAAAUGAGGGUAGUUCAAAACAAGAUGUCAAAGCUGAAGACUUAAGACAGAUGUUUCUUGCAAUGACAGAAGAGGUUCGUGUAAUCAUUGUGAAACUGGCAGACAGGUUGCAUAACAUGCGUACUCUUACACAUAUGCCUCAGCACAAGCAGUAUGCUAUCGCCAUGGAGACACUGCAGGUUUUUGCACCCCUAGCAAAACUUCUCGGGAUGUAUCAAAUAAAGUCUGAGUUAGAGUAUCUGUCCUUCAUGUACAUGAAUCCUGGUGAUUUCGCUGAACUAAGGAAAAGAGUUGAUGACAUCUUCAAAGCCCAUGAACAAGAAUUGGAAGAGGCAAAUAAAAUCCUAAAGCAAAAAAUUGCUGAGGAUCAAUUUCUUGAUCUUGUGAGUGUUGAAACAGAAGUGCGCUCAGUGUGUAAAGAACUUUACAGCAUUUAUAAAACCGCUCUCAAAUCCAAGAGUUCAUUAAAUGAGGUAAAUCAGGUUGCUCAGCUGCGGAUCAUCAUAAAACCAAAAUCCUGCAAUGGUGUUGGGCCACUGUGCACCGGACAACAGAUCUGCUACCAUGUCCUUGGUCUUGUUCAUGGCAUAUGGACACCUAUACCUCAAGCUGUUAAAGAUUAUAUUGCAACUCCAAAGCCUAAUGGCUAUCAAAGUCUACAUACUACAGUGAUACCGUUUCUUAAUGAGAGUAUGUUCCAUUUGGAAGUUCAGAUAAGAACAGAGGAUAUGGAUCUGAUAGCAGAAAGAGGCAUUGCUGCACACUACAGUGGAAGAGGGGUGGUUUCAGGACCUGUUCGUCCUGGAAUAUCUAGUGGAAGAAAUUUAGAUGGGAAAGUGAUCUGUCUUAACAAUACAGGCUUUGCUCUGAGGAUUGGUUGGCUAAAUGCAAUCCGUGAAUGGCAAGAAGAGUUUGUUGGUAACAUGAGCUCUAGGGAAUUUGUGGAUACUAUUACCAGAGAUCUUCUGGGAAGCCGUGUCUUUGUGUUUACACCUAAAGGCGAGAUUAAAAACCUGCCUAAGGGGGCCACUGUGAUUGAUUAUGCAUAUCUGAUCCAUACAGAAAUCGGCAAUAAAAUGGUAGCAGCAAAGGUGAAUGGUAAUCUAGUUUCACCAAUCCAUGCGCUUGCGAACGCUGAAGUAGUGGAGAUAAUAACUUACGAUAAAUUGUCCAGUAAAUAUGCAUUCCAGCGUCAUCAGCAGUGGCUGCAACAUGCCAAAACCCGCAGUGCUAGGCACAAAAUUAUGAAAUUCUUAAGGGAGCAAGCUGCUCUUUCUGCCGCUGAAAUAACGGCGGAUGCAGUUAAUAACUUUGUCGCUGAUCUUGAAGAUGAAAGUGACAGCGAGCAGUUAAUUCCAACCACACAAAACGAGGACUAUAAAUUCAAUUGGCAGAAGAUAUUAAGUUCCAACAAGUUAUCCUUUGUGAAUAAAAAUAGCGAUGGCUUUUUACCAGUUAACAACAUUCACACGCCAAAGAUUAAUGGGAAGCACAACAAAACUGUGAAGGAACUAGGCAUCAAAAUUAAUGGUUCAACAGUUCGAGGUGAUAGCUCCACUGAGUUCAUGCGCCCUGGCGUCCCGGCCUAUAAGGAAGUUUUUGCUAGUUUGGAUAAUUGGAAAUGCGGUAAAAUUUCCUCUUGGCACAAUACAGAAGGCAACUCUAUCCAAUGGCUUUGCAUAGUGUGUGUUGAUCGAAAAGGGAUGAUGGCUGAAGUUACUUCGGCUUUGACAGCUUGCGGAAUCACCAUAUGUUCUUGUGUGGCGGAGAGAGAUAACAGAAGAGGAAUGGGUGUGCUGCUUUUCCAUUUUGAGGGAACUGAUGAGAAUGUGGUGAGCGCAUGCUCCAGUGUUGAGAUGAUUCUUGGUGUUCUUGGUUGGUCUGCUGGGUGUAGUUAUAAUCCGCUUGGUGUUCUUGAGUGCUAG